AGCUCCAGUAGCGUAUAUUAAAGUUGUUGCAGUUAAAAAGCUCGUAGUUGGAUUUCUGGUUGACCGCUUUAGCCCGCUUCCCUCGGGAAGUGAGCGCUGAGGUAAGUUGGCCAUCUUUGUCAAUCGCCAUGCCUGCUCUUCACUGAGUUGGGCAUGUGUGGUUGGCAUCUUUUACUUUGAAAAAAUUAGAGUGUUUCAAGCAGGCUUAUGCUUUGAAUACAUUAGCAUGGAAUAAUAAUAUAGGACUUUGGUUCUAUUUUGUUGGUUUCUAGGACUAAAGUAAUGAUUGAUAGGGAUAGUUGGGGGUGCUAGUAUUCCGUGGCCAGAGGUGAAAUUCUUGGAUUCACGGAAGACUAACUACUGCGAAAGCAUUCACCAAGGAUGUCUUCU
rnacentral:rRNA from 1 species